GAAAAGAACUUUGAAAAGAGAGUUAAACAGUACGUGAAAUUGUUGAUAGGGAAACGAUUGAAGUCAGUCAUGCCGGCGAGAAAUCAGCCUACAGGCUACUGUGGGUGCACUUUUUUGCAAGGCAGGUUAACAUCGAUUUUGAUCGUCAUAAAAUGAUCGGAGGAAUGUAGCUUCGAUUUAGAUCGAAGUGUUAUAGCCUUUGGUAGAUGUGACGAUUGUGAUCGAGGAUUGCAACGAAUACCCUUUGGACCAUUUGGGUUAUCCGUCUAGCCUUUGAAAGUCGCUUGGGUGUCGAAAGCGUGCUUAUGGCUAUCCAAGUUGGCGGUCAACAGGUUAGAACGUGAUUACAUUCGUUAAGGAUGUUGACGUAAUGGCUUUAAACGACCCGUCUUGAAACACG
rnacentral:rRNA from 1 species